UUCAGUCUCCCUCCCUCACUCUCUUCGACCGACUGCUUCCCUCACCUGGUACUCGGCUUCGCCUCUCCAUCUCUGUCUAGAGGAGGCAGAACUCGGUCAGCCGCCAAGCAAAUGGGGUUAUUUGAAAGGUGCUACAAGAAAAAGGAGGACGACGGUUGGAGCAAGCUGAGUACGACUGAGGUGGCGGAGACGUUCCAGAACUGCCUCCAACAAAUCCCCCCAACCUCGAACCAGGACGAUAUAGAUGUCGCUAAAGAGGAGGGG